GUGUAUGUCUGCGCGCGCGGGGCAGGGUGAGGAACAGUGACAGCAGGUGGCGGUGGUGGACGGAGGUAGCUGGGGCGUUUUGGUCGGCACUGGGCAGCCUUGCUAUACGCACUCUAGUAAUCAGCGUUUCCAUGUUUCCGGCAGCUUCUUCCUGCAUCAAACACCACCAAGCCCAAGCAACACCAGGGAGGCAGACAACUUUAGGACACUGAGGCUUCUUGGGACGCUUGGCAGCGAGAAGAGGACACGUAAAUAUCUAAGAUACAGAUGUAUAGAAAAGCAGGAGCAUGACCACCACCACCACAAUGGAAGAAGGGGUGGAAACAAGCUGGGUGGAGGGCAAUGGCGAAUUUGGCAAACCACCUGAAGUUGUUUCAGAGGCUGGAGAAGGUGGAGGAUGAGUUUGCCAAGCUUCAGAAUACAGGAAUGAUUAUGAACAGCUUCUGAAGAGCCUAAAGACUUUAUUGGAUAAGAUUAGCCAUGAGGUUUCUACAGAUAUUACCAGAGGUGAAAGUACAGGUCAAGAAUCUACUACUACUACGUCAAAAAUGUUCUUUGCACAUAUUCAAUUUUGUUUAGCCAUUGUAUGAAACUCAUGUGGUUGGGCAACAGAUACAAAGGCCAGGGUAACCAUGGCAGAGAAACACCAUGUCCACACACUCCAUAUUAAGUUAUGCAAUACAAUCUGAAUGUAAUCAUUGUCACUGUCUGGGCAGGAAACUGCAUGACUGACUACCAAUUAGCUGAUUUGCUGCUAGCCUCACUCCUUCCCACUCCAUGCCCAGACAGGCAAUGCAACCUAUUGUUUUAUUUGUCUUUGAUUACAUCCAUACCAUCAUUGUUUAAUGUUUAUCGGUAAUUUACCUGUAUGUUGCUAUCACUCAUCUCGUCAACACUGUAAAUCUUCAAAACUUGUAGAAAUCAUGACUGAAUAAUUUAGUUUCAUUUGGCCUGGCCCAGCCACUCUCUCUCUCUCUCUGCAUGUCCUCUAAUUUCCUUAAGCCUCAGCUGUCUGACACCGACUGACAUCCCACACCUAAAGAUGCCCGUCAUGAGGUAGGUGAUGUGCUUGCAAACUUUGGGUGGCUCAGCUGGACCAGUUGCCUCAGACUCACUAGUUUCCUGUACCAGAUUGGAAACUUCUCUGUCCAAUUUCCCUUAGUGUAUUGAGUCAGUCUAAUUUGAGUUUCCGUCUGUUGAGUUUCAGUGAGAAAAGAAGCUGGAAAGGGUUCAAGGAUGAGAAAAUGAAAACAUCUCUGCCCCUUUUUAUUAUACCUCAAAGACUCUCUGGUGGACAUCUUUCAUGCUCCCUCCCCCCACCAAAAAAAAAAAUAAUAAUAAUUAAUUAAAUAAAAAAAUAAAAAUACAAUAAUAUCACUGAGGUGGGGAGUCCUAGAACUCUGUAUUAGUACAUUGGGAAGUUUGUUAUUCGCAACACUGCAAGUCCACAAAGUCUGACACACUGGGCAUUCAUAGGAAGCAUAGUUAGGAGAAAGGUGGUGGUAGUAGCAAGUUGAGGUCUAGUUGAAUUCUAAGUCCAGCAGCCACACAGAUCUGGAAGGACAGUGUGUUUAUAUGUCAGUUCAUAGUGAAAACCUGGAUAACUAUUGAUAUGGUCAGAGAACGUGUACAUGCUUUUGUGUGUGGUGUGAAUAGGUAAUUAAAAAACUUGAACACCAAGAAUUGUACCACUAAGCAAAAUAGUGAAGCAAGGAGACAAAACUAAGCAAAAGAAGGAUUCCUAUUCUUAUUCAGUUGUCCAGCUAUAAAUCUAUCGCAAUAUCUGUUUCUAAGAGUCAAUAGUAGACAAUAUACUGUAUCCCAGAGCAAAGAAGUGUACCAGCAAGGAGAGGAAAAUUUAAAGCUUUAUUAGUUCACUAACCCACCUUGCCAUCCACAGCAUGACAGGCCUGCCAGUUCUACUGCUCACUGCUGGCAGUGUUGAGCAGCCAGCAAUGUAUGAUCACUAGUGUGAGCAGCAGGCCAUGGAGCUUAAUAGACAGCUUCAGGCAAGGCCCAUGCAGUAGAUACCUCUGAUGCUUCUGUUGAGUAAAUUAGACAUUUGAGUAAUCUUGGUUUUGGGGAGAUAUUUGAGUGCUUUAUUUCAGUCAAGUUGAGUAAAUUAGAUGUUUCAGUAAUUAUAGUUUGUCUAUUAAAUUGGGAGGUAAUUGAGAAAUCUUUAUUUCAAUCAAUCUUAUCUUUGUGACAGUAGUUAACCAGUUCUUUCAUCCUUCUCACUGAUAUACUCUUAAAAUCUGUUUGGUUUUCCUCAUUCCUACAAGUCUAGCUAACUAUAAUUACAACUUUUUAAUACAGCAGAUUGAACAAGUUUCUUACUUCUCAUUUUCAUGUGUUUUGGUGACUGGCCAAAAGCAUCAUCUAUUUCAAUUUCAAAACCUAAUUGUGCAGAAUCAUAUGACCCUUACUUGCCCCUCUCCCUCAGGACCUAGAGCAGUGGUUCCCAAACUGGGGGCCAUAUAGCAGAAUGUAGGGGGCCAUAAUCAAAGAUCAGAUCACAUUGCAUGGGAUUAAUACACUUUUUCAAUCCAGUGGAAUUUUUUUUUUUUUUUUUUUUUUUUUUUUUGCUGAAACAGCUUUUCACAAUAAUGCAAUUUUUAAUUACUCUACGUAUGAAUUUUUUAAUGUGCAUUAUAUUACUUCUUUAGUACCAUUUCAAUAAUUAUAUGAGAUUCAGCAAAGGCAAAAUACAAAUUUCUUUAUCAAUAAUUAACAAAAGAAAAAAAUGGAAUCAAUAAAAUUACAGGAUUUGCUAGAGUGGUUUUUAUAUGGACCUAAUGAGUGUAGGACUGAGGACAGUCACGGUAGUCACAGGUUAUGGUUGGGGCGGGGGCAUGGACAAGGAUCAUGUAUGAAAAGUGGGUAACGACCAGAAAAAGUUUGGGAACCACUGACCUAGGAUUGUAGAUCACUCAGCAUAGUGACAUUCUCAGGCUCAGCUCUCAUUCCUACCAUGACCAUUACCUGCACGGCUCUCCUUGAGCACUAGUUGUCACACCCCAUCCUAGUCCCUGGUCUCAAGAGAAGAAUGGUGCUGAAGCUAGAAGGAAAUAAAAACCCGAGAAUGACAUUUCAUUCAUUGGCGGUUUUUUUUUUUACAAAUUUUAUACAUUAUUUUUGUAUGCCUGCCAAUUUUUGUACGUGAGUGCUUAUAUGGCAAAUAUGUAUUAUUUAUUGCAAUUUAACUGAAUAGCAAUGCUCCAAAACUAUCAGAUUUCCAUAAGAAUGAAUAGAAAUACAAUGUAAGUAUGAGAGAAGAAUGGAAAGGGGAACAGAAGUAAUAGGAAGAAUGGAGAACAAGACUUACUGUACAUAUUCAGGCUUGUGUAAAUACAAUGCAUUUCCUUUCUUCAUUAGAAGAGUUAUAGAGCCUUGGUGGGGCAAGAGUCUUGUGGUGUGUGUACCCAAGCCACACAUUACAUGUUCUCCACACUGGGAUGCCAAGGUUCAAAAUGCUGCUACACAUGCCAACUUAAUCUGGAAGAAGUGUUUAUAGUAUAGCAAAGUCAUGACACUCGCUAGUAAUUCAUUAGAUAAGCAUUUUGAAUUUUACAUUUGUACUAUGUAAAGGAAUCAAGGAAACAAGGGAAGUAGGCCAGAAAUCCUCACAUACAGUACGCCCCCACCACCACUACUACUAAUACAUGGGUGUGUGUUGGGGUAUGAGGAUGCCUUUGCUCGAACCUUUUCCUCACUUGUACUCAAAACACUCAUCUGUUCACUUCUGACAAUUGAUGUACGAACCCAUCGUUCUAUUGGUGUAUUUUUACCCAUGCUAAUUUAUAAUAAACUAUAUAUUUAGUGUUCA